AGCAGCCGCGGUAAUUCCAGCUCCAAUAGCGUAUAUUAAAGUUGUUGCAGUUAAAAAGCUCGUAGUUGAAUUUCGGGAUCAAUAUUUCGGUCAUGCCGUUGGUAUGCACUGUUAUCAUUGAUUUCUCACCUUCUAAAGAACCGUAAUGCCAUUAAUUUGGUGUUACGGGGAAUUAGGACUGUUACCUUGAAAAAUUAGAGUGUUUAAAGCAGGCGCACGCUUGAAUACAUUAGCAUGGAAUAAUGAAAUAGGACGUUUGAUUCUAUUUUGUUGGUUUCUAGGAUCGACGUAAUGAUUAAUAGGGAUAGUUGGGGGCAUUAGUAUUCAAUUGUCAGAGGUGAAAUUCUUGGAUUUAUUGAAGACUAACUACUGCGAAAGCAUUUGCCAAGGAUGUUUUCAUUAAUCAAGAACGAAAGUUAGGGGAUCGAAGACGAUCAGAUACCGUCGUAG
rnacentral:rRNA from 1 species